AAAGAAAUAAAAGACCUGGACUG
rnacentral:piRNA from 1 species